rnacentral:rRNA from 1 species
GUAGGGGGCGAGCGUUGUCCGGAAUCACUGGGCGUAAAGGGCGCGUAGGCGGCCUGGCAAGUCGGAUGUGAAAGGUCCCGGCUCAACCGGGGAGGUGCAUUCGAAACUGCCGGGCUUGAGGGCAGGAGAGGGCAGCGGAAUUCCCGGUGGAGCGGUGAAAUGCGUAGAGAUCGGGAGGAACACCAGUGGCGAAGGCGGCUGCCUGGCCUGGCCCUGACGCUGAGGCGCGACAGCGUGGGGAGCGAACGGGAUUAGAUACCCCGGUAGUCCACGCCGUAAACGAUGGGUGCUAGGUGUGGGAGGUAUCGACCCCUUCCGUGCCGGAGCUAACGCACUAAGCACCCCGCCUGGGGAGUACGGCCGCAAGGCUG